GGUUUCGCGGAUCGCAUCCGCGGUCUCGCCGAGAUCGAAGUUGAACAUACUAUGCGCGUUCGGAAUCAUCAGGUUCUCUCCCCAGAGCGGCUUUUUUGACGAAGGCCAGCCCUUGUUUGGCAGACCAUGCCACGGGCCGGUUGCGGGGAGAAGAGCCGGAAGCGCCGGAACAUGCUGACGCCUCCGUUGCGGCGAUUCUGCCCCCGGACGCCGGGAAGAAGGCCACAAAGCGAGACGCCGAAAUGUCUUGUUCCUGACAUUUCGGCGGGCAAUUUCGCAGGCGUAACCUUACGCCAGUGCGCGCGAGGCCUCUCGCACCUUGCGGGUCGAUGCAUCGACCGAACGCGUCGCUUCGGCGAUAUCGGUCAUGUUGGAAUUGAUAUCGGUUACGCCCUUUGCCGCGACCUGCAUGUUGGACGAGAUGCUCUGCGUCACCGAGGCCUGCUCCUCGACCGAAGCCGCGAUUGCCGCCGAAAUCUCGUUGAUGCGGGAGAUCGUCUGCGUGAUCG
rnacentral:misc_RNA from 1 species